rnacentral:lncRNA from 1 species
AUGAGUAAAAGUCUCAGGGUCUAGUGAAAUACCAUCCAAUAUGGAUCUGUAUUCAGCUUGAAAAUCUUGUUCACUAAACCCUUCAUUGACACCUGCAUUUCUCUCAAUUUCUCUCUUUUCUUGCAUCAAGGGCUCCCCUUGGCUCACCACACCACUCACCUCUCCCUCACUUACCCUUACUAAAGGGUCACUCUUAUCCUCUCCUUUUUCCUGGCUAGAAGAAAAUGCCAGACUCUCCACACCCUCUCCUUUUGCCAGCUCACUAGGCUGCCUCUCCACUCCAUAGCUCACUCCACUCAAUCCUAGAAGUGUUUGUGCUACCAUGUGAUCAACUGCUGUAGAAAGAGGUAAAUUAAUUGAAGUAACAGCAGUUGUCAACUGAUGAGGGACAUCAGUUGAAACAUGAGUAGAGGAGGCUUUCAACUGAUGAGAGCUGUUAAGCAGAUCAGUUGAAGGACAAACACUAUUCAACUGAUGAAGGGGAUCCGUUGAAGAUAAUGAAGAAAUAGGUUUAGAAGCUGUGAUAGUUGAGUCUGUGGUGAUUGAUUUUAGAGGAAAAUCCACAGAACACACUGUCACAGAAGAAGGAAUUGGAAGAGAAAGAUCCAACAAAUCAUCAAAAUGAUGAUGAUCAAUCUCAGAGGGGGGCUUCUCCAAGAAAUCCAAAGAUGGAGAAUUUCCAAGUGUGGUGUGAAUUAAUUCCACAUCCACAGAAGAGGUUGGGGAUUGUGUUUGAGUAGUAGAGAUGGUAAGAUCAUGAAUAUGGGUGAUUUGUUGAGAUGAAGAAGGGGGCUGUGACUCCACAUUUAUUGGAGUCACAUCAAUCUGACUUUGAGAAGUUCUUGCCUGUGUGUGUGGUGAGUGCUUGAGUUUGUCACUUCUCAACUUCUUUCUCCCAUAAGCUUUUAUUGGUGAAGAAGUGGUGUCCCUCCCCCUUUUUAACUGUGUCCCUGGUUGGGGACUAUUUUCAAUAGCAACAUCCUUUUGGGAGGAUGAUGCUAGGGAUGAGUUAAAUUCCAUAUUAACAUCUACAGUCUUUUGCAGAGUGGCCAGGCUGGUCAACACACACCUCUCCAUCCUUAUGCUUAGGGCUUCUUUUAUGUUCACCCUUUCCCUCCCCCUCACAACCUCCAAACACACUCCCCUCAGGUUUGUUUUUCUUGGAUUUUACAACAGGUGCCUUUUGGGAGGCAUCUGAGGUUGGUUUAGAAGACUUGGAUUUAGAAGGUUUUGCCACUUGUGUGGACUGUUGAUGGGCCUCUUCAACAGCCCUGAUGGCAGAAAGCAAGGAAGAUGAGGGUUGGGAAGGAGUAGUAGGAAAGCCAUGUACCUCUUUUUCCUUACCAGCCUCCACACACUCCCCUCAGGUUUGUUUUUCUUGGAUUUUACAACAGGUGCCUUUUGGGAGGCAUCUGAGGUUGGUUUAGAAGACUUGGAUUUAGAAGGUUUUGCCACUUGUGUGGACUGUUGAUGGGCCUCUUCAACAGCCCUGAUGGCAGAAAGCAAGGAAGAUGAGGGUUGGGAAGGAGUAGUAGGAAAGCCAUGUACCUCUUUUUCCUUACCAGCCUCCAUUAUUGGCAGGUACACCACCUCCAAGGAGGGAUAUAGAUUCAUCCUUAAGAGGUCUUUAAAGACUCUCUUUUCCU